CAUUCCUACGGGAGGCAGCAGUAGGGAAUCUUCCACAAUGGACGAAAGUCUGAUGGAGCAACGCCGCGUGAGUGAAGAAGGGUUUCGGCUCGUAAAGCUCUGUUGGUAGUGAAGAAAGAUAGAGGUAGUAACUGGCCUUUAUUUGACGGUAAUUACUUAGAAAGUCACGGCUAACUACGUGCCAGCAGCCGCGGUAAUACGUAGGUGGCAAGGGUUGUCCGGAUUUUUUGGGCGUAAAGCGAGUGCAGGCGGUUUAAAUAGUAUGGU
rnacentral:rRNA from 1 species